AACGCUAGCUACAGGCUUAACACAUGCAAGUUCGAGGGGCAGCAUUUUUAGUUUCGCUUGCAAACUGAAGAAGGCGACCGGCGCACGGGUGAGUAACACGUAUCCAACCUGCCGAUAACUCCGGGAUAGCCUUUCGAAAGAAAGAUUAAUACCGGAUAGUAUACGAAUAUCGCAUGAUAUUUUUAUUAAAGAAUUUCGGUUAUCGAUGGGGAUGCGUUCCAUUAGUUUGUUGGCGGGGUAACGGCCCACCAAGACUACGAUGGAUAGGGGUUCUGAGAGGAAGGUCCCCCACAUUGGAACUGAGACACGGUCCAAACUCCUACGGGAGGCAGCAGUGAGGAAUAUUGGUCAAUGGGCGCGAGCCUGAACCAGCCAAGUAGCGUGAAGGAUGAAGGCUCUAUGGGUCGUAAACUUCUUUUAUAUGGGAAUAAAGUUUUCCACGUGUGGAAUUUUGUAUGUACCAUAUGAAUAAGGAUCGGCUAACUCCGUGCCAGCAGCCGCGGUAAUACGGAGGAUCCGAGCGUUAUCCGGAUUUAUUGGGUUUAAAGGGAGCGUAGGUGGAUUGUUAAGUCAGUUGUGAAAGUUUGCGGCUCAACCGUAAAAUUGCAGUUGAAACUGGCAGUCUUGAGUACAGUAGAGGUGGGCGGAAUUCGUGGUGUAGCGGUGAAAUGCUUAGAUAUCACGAAGAACUCCGAUUGCGAAGGCAGCUCACUAGACUGUCACUGACACUGAUGCUCGAAAGUGUGGGUAUCAAACAGGAUUAGAUACCCUGGUAGUCCACACAGUAAACGAUGAAUACUCGCUGUUUGCGAUAUACAGUAAGCGGCCAAGCGAAAGCAUUAAGUAUUCCACCUGGGGAGUACGCCGGCAACGGUGAAACUCAAAGGAAUUGACGGGGGCCCGCACAAGCGGAGGAACAUGUGGUUUAAUUCGAUGAUACGCGAGGAACCUUACCCGGGCUUAAAUUGCAACAGAAUAUAUUGGAAACAGUAUAGCCGUAAGGCUGUUGUGAAGGUGCUGCAUGGUUGUCGUCAGCUCGUGCCGUGAGGUGUCGGCUUAAGUGCCAUAACGAGCGCAACCCUUAUCUUUAGUUACUAACAGGUUAUGCUGAGGACUCUAGAGAGACUGCCGUCGUAAGAUGUGAGGAAGGUGGGGAUGACGUCAAAUCAGCACGGCCCUUACGUCCGGGGCUACACACGUGUUACAAUGGGGGGUACAGAAGGCGGCUACCUGGUGACAGGAUGCUAAUCCCAAAAACCUCUCUCAGUUCGGAUCGAAGUCUGCAACCCGACUUCGUGAAGCUGGAUUCGCUAGUAAUCGCGCAUCAGCCAUGGCGCGGUGAAUACGUUCCCGGGCCU
rnacentral:rRNA from 1 species